rnacentral:rRNA from 1 species
UACGUAGGGGGCUAGCGUUGUCCGGAUUUAUUGGGCGUAAAGAGCGUGUAGGCGGCCGGGUAAGUCCGGUGUGAAAACUCGAGGCUUAACCUCGAGAUGUCAUCGGAAACUAUUCGGCUAGAGUCCGGAAGAGGAGAGUGGGAUUCCUGGUGUAGCGGUGAAAUGCGCAGAUAUCAGGAAGAACACCUAUGGCGAAAGCAGCUCUCUGGGACGGUACUGACGCUGAGACGCGAAAGCGUGGGGAGCGAACAGG